rnacentral:tRNA from 1 species
CGUAGCUCAGCCGGAUAGAGCGACAGCCUCCUAAGCUGUAGGUCGCAGGUUCGAAUCCUGCCGG